CAGAAUUUGAAACGGAUACAUGAUCACAUCCUUCAAUUUUCCAAGAGAAGGGAACCUUUAUAUGACUCAGCCUAGCCUAUGAAACUACUCUGAUUAUACCAAAACAGGAAAAUGCUUCCAAUUCGAAAGAGUUUUGAGUGUAAGUGUCUCCCCAGUGUUCCUCAUGCUAAUGGGGUUGCUCUAGUGCCUCCCUGUCCCUUUGCUAGGUCGCUCCUGGUUCAAUUACCACCCCUCAAGCAUAUGAAGUUGUCAUGGAGGAUGAAAAGUUCUUCUACAAGUAAUUAGGAGAACUUCACUUAUAAUGAUCAAGUGCAACAACAAGAGAACUUCACUUAUAAUGAUCAAGUGCAACAACAA
rnacentral:sRNA from 1 species